CAGAACUAUCAUGACAUUUGCGCACAGGAGGUGAAUAUAUAAAUUGUGAGACUGUAUGUAAAGGGUUUUUUUCAGUUGUGUAAGUUUCUACUUAAUUAAGAAUUCGGGCUGAUGUGGGGGACUGUUUAUUAAACUUUGGUCAUUGAUACAUAUAUGGGAACUGCUGAAUCACGGCCUGAACCUCUGAUUGAUCACCUGAUGGAGCAAUGAGUCAGCCACAGGAGCACAGGGGAAGGCAAUUCAGCUGUGCUGCUGGAAGGGGUGGAGCCUGGCUGCACCUCUCCUAAACCCCAUUUAAGAGCUGGCUACAAGUGGGGAAGGAUCUCUUUCUGGAGAUCCCUCCUUUUGGAGUUGUCUAGCAAGCCCCGGAUAAGGGGUCCUGUAGCUGCUACCAGAGAGCAGAGCUCAGCACUGCUUUCUGCUCCCUGUGAGGAGCUGCAGCUGCCUUGAGGGCUCCUCACAGCCUACUUUGCUCUGGGAGCAACAAACUUGGAGCUCUCAGACAUUCCUCCAGUGUCUUGCCCUCAAGACCCUUCACAGUCCUUAUAGCCCUCUGGAACUGGAGCGUUAACUCUUGAACUCUCAGGCCAUGGCCUCUCCUACCCAACUCAGCCCUGUUUUGGCUGUCAUGGAACACUUGUUGGGUCUCAUCACCGUCUCCUUACGAUAUCACAAGUCACAUCCCUGCCAACCACUAUAAAUACAGAGGUGCUGACAACAGAACACCAGUUGCUGACUGACUUUUGUCUGGGAAGCACAUGCUUGAGACCAGGAGCUUUUUACCUAGAUCCUUCCCCCCCAUUCUAGGAAUUUUUGUGGAGGAGGAUGGAUUCUUCUCCACCGAAGAAGCUCCAGCUUCUAGAGAGCAGCAGCAAGCUCAAGCCAAUGCAUGUAGACCCACUGGAGGGCAAUGUUGAGCCCAUGGAGGUGUACCUACCUCCACAGGGUGAACAGAUGAAAGUAGAUCUAUCGCUAUCAGGCCUGGGCAAGCACAUCAUGCUUGCCCAGAAACAUCUCUAUAUCCAUUGGUGGUGCAGCAGGAGCUCUCUAUUUCUAUCUUGGUGUUGAAGAGUCGCCGAAGAGCUUCUGCUCUCUAGAGUCCUUUUUUUUCCUCUGUCCCCCGUCCUCAUCCUUCCUUGAGACCUCUCACCUCUUCUUUCCCAAGCUCUGAGGAAAAGAGAAGGACUGAGACUGGUGUCCUCUAAGCUUCUGCACAGAGAAAACAGGAGUCCAGUGGAUGGCCCCCAGCUCUCUGUGGCCUCCAUGCAAGUCCCAAGGAUGAGGGCAGGACUGAGACUGGUGUUGUUAUGCUUCUGUACCACGACAAUGGGAGGCAUCCAGUGGAUGGCCCUGAGCUCCCUGCAGCCUCUAGGUGAGCCCUCAAGAAGAGGCUGGGACUGGGAUGGGGUCCUCUGAGUUGCUGUGUAAAGACAACAUGUGGAGUCUAGCCCUGAGUCCCUGCAGCCUGUAGGCAGUCUUGAAGAAGAAAGCAGGACUGGAUCUGGUGUCCUCAAAACUGCUGUGCUGGGACAAGAGGAGUCCAGUAGAUGGCCCUGAGAUCCUUGAUGCAAGUGCUAAAGAGGAAGGCGCGACUGGGACCGGCAUCCUCUGAGUUGCUGUGUUGGCACAAUAGGAAUAGUCCAGCAGGCAGCCCCAAGCUCUCAGUGGACUCUAGGAAAGCCCUGAGGAAGAGAGCAGGACUGGUAAUAGCAUCUUCUAAGCUGCUGUGUCAGGUCCAGGAGGAAUCAAUUAGGCAGCCCCAAGCUCCCUGUGGCCUUCAGGCAGCAUCAGAGAAGGUACAGAGGCAGCUUUCUGUUGGAGAAGCAGCAGACUUUGAUUUGGACAGGAAGAAGGACUCAAGUUCAGCAUAAUUCCAGUUGCUCCAUAAGGACUUCUAUUUCAAAACUGGACAAUGUUUAAAAGAACAAUACAAAAUAACAACGAUAAGAAAAACUUUGUUUCUUUUUUUCUGAAACAGAGCCAGUAAGUUUACUGUUUUUGGUACUUCAGAGUCUGCCUUGAGUUUCCUGGGUUUGUUUCCCCAGAAGGAGCAACUCUGCCCCUUAGGAAGGGGCUUGGGCACAUGGCAGCCUGGCAGGCUGUGGGCAUGGCCUUUGCUCAGCACUGGGCACAGAGGGGUGAGGAGGGAUGGAGGGCUGUGGAAUUUUACUGAAGGGGGCUGUGUAAAAUAUUUGAUUACAAUCGCACUUGAAAAAGUAGAAAAAAAAAAAUAAAAAAAAAAUUGAAAAUGCAAAAAUACUUGAAAAAGUAAAAAUCCUUUAAAAUGUUGUUUUCGUCUAAAAACCAUUUUGAAGACAGUGUAUGAGAAAGAAAUAUGUUUUGUGAAAUUGUUUCAUAUAAUAUGCACACAAGGUUCUCAUACCUAUUUUUAUUGAGUAACAAUAUCUGUUUUUACAGAGGUUCCAUCAUGAAAUGAGAGAGGGGAAAAUGGAGACAGGAAAGAAAACACGACAGAAGAUGAUAUUUGAACAGCUUGUUAAUUGAGGGGGUGGACAAAAUCCAGUCAUGCUCUUAAUUUGAAGUAUCUUGCUUUGCUUCUGUCUUCUGUAGAGUAAAUUUAUUAACUUAUUAAUAGGAUUUAUUUGAGAGCACUGCGCAUCUGUUCUGUUUUGAAGCUGCUACUCGCUAUAUGCUUAGACCCUUGGUAGCAAGAAAUAAGUAAUCAUAUUGGAUAUCCAAAAUGGCAACGUAUGAACAGGGCACGGUCAAGAAUCCCUUAGGAGUUUAGUUUUUAUGGAACUUCAACAUUUUUGUGCUGUAGAGAGAUAGUAAUUCUAAAACUUGAAGGAGCUGGGGUGGGAAGAGUGGGCUGAUGGCUACAUCUGCACAGGGAAGAAUAUUUUGGUUAUAAUUCUUGGGCGUCUGCCCAGCCACCUCUUCUUCCCACCUGCAGCAUUGCUCUCAGAAGGCAAAUCUAAACACUGUCAUCAGCAACAACAAGACAGCUCUCAGCAACUUUGUUCUGCAUCUUUCUCUAUUGCAGUAGGGGAAGAGAAGCUUGCAUCUGCUAUCUCCAAAGAGACCAGCAAGGGAGCUUGGUCUGCCUACUGAGAACAACUCUGCAGAUGCACCAGAUUUCAUUUUAUUGUAAUACCAAGUCAGCUUGCUGUUAUCACUCUAUGGCAUAACAAAUGAUAGUGUUUCAGGAGACUAUUUAAGAGUCUGUGUUAUAAUAAAGCAAGCUUCAAUGCUUU